rnacentral:rRNA from 1 species
GUAUGGUGCAAGCGUUAUCCGGAUUUACUGGGUGUAAAGGGAGCGCAGGCGGAAGGCUAAGUCUGAUGUGAAAGCCCGGGGCUCAACCCCGGUACUGCAUUGGAAACUGUCGUACUAGAGUGUCGGAGGGGUAAGCGGAAUUCCUAGUGUAGCGGUGAAAUGCGUAGAUAUUAGGAGGAACACCAGUGGCGAAGGCGGCUUACUGGACGGUAACUGACGUUGAGGCUCGAAAGCGUGGGGAGCAAACAGGAUUAGAUACCCUGGUAGUCCCAGCCGUAAACGAUGGACGCUAGGUGUGGGGGAGGAAUCUCCUCCGUGCCGAAGCCAACGCAUUAAGCGUCCCGCCUGGGGAGU